CCACAUCAGCAACAACCAGUCAAACAUCAAGUUCAACAGCAAGUCCAUCCACAACUUCUGCAACUACAUCGACACCAACAUCAGCAACAACCAGUCAAACAUCAAGUUCAAGAACAAGUCCAUCCACAACUUCUGCAACUACAUUGUCACCAACAUCAGCAACAACCAGUCAAACAUCUAGUUCAACAUCCACAAGCCCAUCCACAACUUCUGCAACUACAUCGUCACCAACAGCAAGCAAUAACCAGUCAAACAUCUAGUUCAACAUCCACAAGUCCAUCCACAACUUCUGCAACUACAUCAUCACCAACCACAUCAGCAACAACCAGUCAAACAUCAAGUUCAACAACAAGUCCAUCCACAACUUCUGCAACUACAUCGUCACCAACAUCAGCAACAACCAGUCAAACAUCAAGUUCAAUAUCUACAAGUCCAUACACAACUUCUACAACUACAUCAUCACCAACCACGUCAGCAACAACCAGUCAAACAUCAAGUUCAACAUCAACAAGUCCAUCCACAACUUCUGCAACUACAUCGUCACCAACCACAUCAGCAACAACCAGUCAAACAUCAAGUUCAACAACAAGUCCAUCCACAACUUCUGCAACUACAUCAUCACUAACCACAUCAGCAACAAGCAGUCAAACAUCAAGUUCAACAACAAAAAGUCCAUCCACAACUUCUGCAACUACAUCGUCACCAACGACAUCAGCAACAACCAGUCAAACAUCAAGUUCAAGAACAAGUCCAUCCACAACUUCUGCAACUACAUUGUCACCAACAUCAGCAACAACCAGUCAAACAUCUAGUUCAACAUCCACAAGCCCAUCCACAACUUCUGCAACUACAUCGUCACCAACAGCAGCAAUAACCAGUCAAACAUCUAGUUCAACAUCCACAAGUCUAUCCACAACUUCUGCAACUACAUCAUCACCAACCACAUCAGCAACAAGCAGUCAAACAUCAAGUUCAACAACAACAAGUCCAUCCACAACUUCUGCAACUACAUCGUCACCAACGACAUCAGCAACAACCAGUCAAACAUCAAGUUCAAGAACAAGUCCAUCCACAACUUCUGCAACUACAUUGUCACCAACAUCAGCAACAAGCAGUCAAACAUCUAGUUCAACAUCCACAAGCCCAUCCACAACUUCUGCAACUACAUCGUCACCAACAGCAGCAAUAACCAGUCAAACAUCUAGUUCAACAUCCACAAGUCUAUCCACAACUUCUGCAACUACAUCAUCACCAACCACAUCAGCAACAAGCAGUCAAACAUCAAGUUCAACAACAACAAGUCCAUCCACAACUUCUGCAACUACAUCAUCACCAACCACAUCAGCAACAACCAGUCAAACAUCAAGUUCAACAUCUACAAGUCCAUCCACAACUACAUCGUCACCAACCACAUCAGUAACAACCAGUCAAACGUCUAGUUCAACAUCCACAAGUCCAUCCACAACUUCUGCAACUACAUCAUCACCAACCACAUCAGCAAUAACCAUUCAAACAUCUAGUUCAACAUCAACAAGUCCAUUCACAACUUCUGCAACUACAUCGUCACCAUCCACAUCAGCAACCAGCAGUCAAACAUCAAGUUCAACAGCAAGUCCAUCCACAACUUCUGCAACUACAUCAUCACCAACCACAUCAGCAACAACCAGUCAAACAUCUAGUUCAACAUCCACAAGUCCAUCCACAACUUCUGCAACUACAUCAUCACCAACCACAUCAGCAACAACCAGUCAAACAUCAAGUUCAACAUCUACAAGUCCAUCCACAACUACAUCGUCACCAACGACAUCAGCAACAACCAGUCAAACAUCAAGUUCAACAUCUACAAGUCCAUCCACAACUACAUCGUCACCAACGACAUCAGCAACAACCAGUCAAACAUCAAGUUCAAGAACAAGUCCAUCCACAACUUCUGCAACUACAUUGUCACCAACAUCAGCAACAACCAGUCAAACAUCUAGUUCAACAUCCACAAGUCCAUCCACAACUUCUGCAACUACAUCGUCACCAACAACAGCAGCAAUAACCAUUCAAACAUCUAGUUCAACAUCCACAAGUCCAUCCACAACUUCUGCAACUACAUCAUCACCAACCACAUCAGCAACAACCAGUCAAACAUCAAGUUCAACAACAAGUCCAUCCAGAACUUCUGCAACUACAUCGUCACCAACAACAUCAGCAACAAGCAGUCAAACAUCAAGUUCAACAUCAACAAGUCCAUCCACAACUUCUGCAACUACAUCGUCACCAACCACAUCAGCAAAAAGCAGUCAAACAUCAAGUUCAACAGCAAGUCCAUCCACAACUUCUGCAACAACAUCAUCACCAACCACAUCAGCAACAACCAGUCAAACAUCAAGUUCAACAUCAACAAGUCCAUUCACAACUUCUGCAACUACAUCGUCACCAACCACAUCAGCAACAAGCAGUCAAACAUCAAGUUCAACAGCAAGUCCAUCCACAACUUCUGCAACUACAUCGUCACCAACAUCAGCAACAAGCAGUCAAACAUCUAGUUCAACAUCCACAAGUCCAUCCACAACUUCUGCAACUACAUCGUCACCAACCACAUCAGCAACAACCAGUCAAACAUCAAGUUCAACAGCAAGUCCAUCCACAACUUCUGCAACAACAUCAUCACCAACCACAUCAGCAACAACCAGUCAAACAUCAAGUUCAACAUCAACAAGUCCAUUCACAACUUCUGCAACUACAUCGUCACCAUCCACAUCAGCAACCAGCAGUCAAACAUCAAGUUCAACAGCAAGUCCAUCCACAACUUCUGCAACUACAUCAUCACCAACCACAUCAGCAACAACCAGUCAAACAUCUAGUUCAACAUCCACAAGUCCAUCCACAACUUCUGCAACUACAUCAUCACCAACCACAUCAGCAACAACCAGUCAAACAUCAAGUUCAACAUCUACAAGUCCAUCCACAACUACAUCGUCACCAACGACAUCAGCAACAACCAGUCAAACAUCAAGUUCAACAUCUGCAAGUCCAUCCACAACUACAUCGUCACCAACGACAUCAGCAACAACCAGUCAAACAUCAAGUUCAAGAACAAGUCCAUCCACAACUUCUGCAACUACAUUGUCACCAACAUCAGCAACAACCAGUCAAACAUCUAGUUCAACAUCCACAAGUCCAUCCACAACUUCUGCAACUACAUCGUCACCAACAACAGCAGCAAUAACCAUUCAAACAUCUAGUUCAACAUCCACAAGUCCAUCCACAACUUCUGCAACUACAUCAUCACCAACCACAUCAGCAACAACCAGUCAAACAUCAAGUUCAACAACAAGUCCAUCCACAACUUCUGCAACUACAUCGUCACCAACAUCAGCAACAACCAGUCAAACAUCAAGUUCAAUAUCUACAAGUCCAUCCACAACUUCUGCAACUACAUCAUCACCAACCACAUCAGCAACAAGCAGUCAAACAUCAAGUUCAACAUCAACAAGUCCAUCCACAACUUCUGCGACUACAUCGUCACCAUCCACAUCAGCAACAAGCAGUCAAACAUCAAGUUCAACAGCAAGUCCAUCCACAACUUCUGCAACUACAUCAUCACCAACCACAUCAGCAACAACCAGUCAAACAUCAAGUUCAACAUCUACAAGUCCAUCCACAACUACAUCGUCACCAACGACAUCAGCGACAACCAGUCAAACAUCAAGUUCAAGAACAAGUCCAUCCACAACUUCUGCAACUACAUUGUCACCAACAUCAGCAACAACCAGUCAAACAUCUAGUUCAACAUCCACAAGCCCAUCCACAACUUCUGCAACUACAUCGUCACCAACAGCAGCAAUAACCCGUCAAACAUCUAGUUCAACAUCCACAAGUCUAUCCACAACUUCUGCAACUACAUCAUCACCAACCACAUCAGCAACAAGCAGUCAAACAUCAAGUUCAACAACAAGUCCAUCCACAACUUCUGCAACUACAUCAUCACCAACCACAUCAGCAACAACCAGUCAAACAUCAAGUUCAACAUCUACAAGUCCAUCCACAACUACAUCGUCACCAACCACAUCAGUAACAACCAGUCAAACGUCUAGUUCAACAUCCACAAGUCCAUCCACAACUUCUGCAACUACAUUGUCACCAACAUCAGCAACAACCAGUCAAACAUCUAGUUCAACAGCAAGUCCAUCCACAACUUCUGCAACUACAUCGUCACCAACAUCAGCAACAAGCAGUCAAACAUCUAGUUCAACAUCCACAAGUUCAUCCACAACUUCUGCAACUACAUCAUCACCAACCACAUCAGCAACAAGUAGUCAAACAUCAAGUUCAACAACAAGUCCAUCCACAACUUCUGCGACUACAUCGUCACCAACAACAUCAGCAACAAGCAGUCAAACAUCAAGUUCAACAACAAGUCCAUCCACAACUUCUGCAACUACAUCGUCACCAACCACAUCAGUAACAACCAGUCAAACAUCUAGUUCAACAUCCACAAGUCCAUCCACAACGUCUGCAACUACAUCGUCACCAACCACAUCAGCAACUUCAGGUGUUGAGCCAAUCUAUAUUGUUUCAGCAACUUUACCUCAAGAGAUUUUUCGAGAAGAACUCACUAACCCCAACAGCACAACAUACAAAGAACUUGAAAGUCGAGUAAUAGACACGUGUACACCUAUCUACACAAGAAAAUAUGGAAAGAGAUUUGUCCGCUGCUUUGUGAAACAAUUCCGCCGUGCUGUGCGUCUACGACAAGAUGCAACUGCAGCUGAUAUUGGGGUUGUGCUCCGCAACAAUAUCCCCAUUUCUGACCUCCCAAAUAAUGACGAAGUUGCUGAAACUUUAGCAAUUGCAGCAAGUAGCAAUGAGACCUUAAGUGUGGCUCUGUCUGCAUCCUCAAUCCAAACUAUAUCUGGUCCAGUUCCUUUAACUACUGAGCCUGCAACUACAACAACCAUAGUUGCAGCAACUACAACUCCACCAACGACAUCAGCAACAACCAGUCAAACAUCAAGUUCAACAUCAACAAGUCCAUCCACAACUUCUGCAACUACAUCGUCACCAACCACAUCAGCAACAACCAGUCAAACAUCAAGUUCAACAACAAGUCCAUCCACAACUUCUGCAACUACAUCAUCACUAACCACAUCAGCAACAAGCAGUCAAACAUCAAGUUCAACAACAAAAAGUCCAUCCACAACUUCUGCAACUACGUCAUCACCAACCACAUCAGCAACAACCAGUCAAACAUCAAGUUCAACAUCUACAAGUCCAUCCACAACUACAUCGUCACCAACGACAUCAGCAACAACCAGUCAAACAUCAAGUUCAAGAACAAGUCCAUCCACAACUUCUGCAACUACAUUGUCACCAACAUCAGCAACAACCAGUCAAACAUCUAGUUCAACAUCCACAAGCCCAUCCACAACUUCUGCAACUACAUCGUCACCAACAGCAGCAAUAACCAGUCAAACAUCUAGUUCAACAUCCACAAGUCCAUCCACAACUUCUGCAACUACAUCAUCACCAACCACAUCAGCAACAACCAGUCAAACAUCAAGUUCAACAACAAGUCCAUCCACAACUUCUGCAACUACAUCGUCACCAACAUCAGCAACAACCAGUCAAACAUCAAGUUCAAUAUCUACAAGUCCAUACACAACUUCUGCAACUACAUCAUCACCAACCACGUCAGCAACAACCAGUCAAACAUCAAGUUCAACAUCAACAAGUCCAUCCACAACUUCUGCAACUACAUCGUCACCAACCACAUCAGCAACAACCAGUCAAACAUCAAGUUCAACAACAAGUCCAUCCACAACUUCUGCAACUACAUCAUCACCAACCACAUCAGCAACAACCAGUCAAACAUCUAGUUCAACAUCCACAAGUCCAUCCACAACUUCUGCAACUACAUCGUCACCAACAACAUCAGCAACAACCAGUCAAACAUCUAGUUCAACAUCCACAAGUACAUCCACAACUUCUGCAACUACAUCGUCACCAACCACAUCAGCAACUUCAGGUGUUGAGCCAAUCUAUAUUGUUUCAGCAACUUUACCUGAAGAGAAUUUUCGAGAAGAACUCACUAACCCAAACAGCACAACAUACAAAGAACUUGAACGUCGAGUAAUAGACACGUGUACGCCUAUCUACACAAGAAAAUAUGGAGAGAGAUUUGUCCGCUGCUUUGUGAAACAAUUCCGCCGUGCUGUGCGUCUACGAGAAGAUGCAACUGCAGCUGAUAUUGGGGUUGUGCUCCGCAACAAUAUCCCCAUUUCUGACCUCCCAAGUAACGACGAAAUUGCUGAAACUUUAGCAAUUGCAGCAAGUAGCAAUGAGACCUUAAGUGUGGCUCUGUCUGCAUCAUCAAUCCAAACUAUAUCUGGUCCAGUUCCUUUAACUACUGAGCCUGCAACUACAACAACCACAGUUGCAGCAACUACAACUCCUGCCAUGACAACAACCACAUCUGCAGCUGUUACAAUAAGUGUGUCAUUUAGAUCACGUCUCAGCACAUUUUCAAGUGACCUGCAGGAUACAUCUUCUGAAGCUUUUAAAAGUCGAGCUUCAAUGAUAAAAUCACAGCUUCAACCAUUGUUCAAGGAACAAUUUUCUUCCUUUAGGUUCAUGGAAGUGGUAUCAUUUAGAAAUGGCUCAGUCAUCAAUGACAUGACACUCGGCUUUGACAGUACGGCUGUCCCUCAUCACACCGUGAUUGCCAGUGUUUUAAUUAACGCAUCUUCGGUUGUCACUGGUUUUGACAUUGAAGGCAGCUCCAUUUCUGUAGAUGGCAUAGCAUCAAGUGGAGUCAACCAGAACAUGAGUCUCUUCACUGCAUUCUCUUUGGUACUGCUGUCAUGGAUACUGUCAAACCAGCAAUAAAAUUAUGAGUAUUGUCAUUUAUUGACAGCAUCCAGCAACACUUUAACAGCAGUGCGCAUCAUAAUAAUAAUAUAUAUAUUUAUGUUAUAUUACAAACUGUUCUGCAUUCUCCUGAUUUAUGAAGGUAACAUUAUAGACCUCCUUAUUACAAUGUUACAAUACUAUCACUGAGAAAAGAAAUGAAGUGACAAAUUACAACAAUCACAGUUCUUGAAAUUAUGUGUGUUUUAAAAAAACAUGUUAAUAUAUUUUAUUUUUAGAGACUUAUUUAAUCCUACUAAUCAAGAUGCUGUGAAAUCUUGUAAAACAUGAAAAGGUCAGAAUAAACAAAAAUGACUAAUUUUUAGUUUUUCUCAUGUUUUCCCUCAUCAUUAAAACACAAUUGUGAUUUAUACCAGCCAAUCAGACUGGUUGAUUCACCAUUGUUCAUUUGAAUAAAUUGGUAUACAAAUUGCUGAA
rnacentral:lncRNA from 1 species